GAGGAACCCUAAUUUUAAAAACAGAAAAUCACAUCAAUUCACACAAUCAGAGAGACAUUCCUACCUUUACAAACCGAUUGUCACCGAUUUCGAAUCGAAACUCGAAGAUCUGUUGAAUUUAUCCCCGAUUUCGUAAGCCACGAUUCGCCAAUUUGGUGAGCUAUUGACGCCCUCGACAACCAGCGUCGGUGGGGAUGAUAAUCUGUAGCAGGAACGAUCGCCGGAGGUAAAUAACGUCGGCUGUUCCUCCGAUUUGCUUGAAAUCGACUUCAGUUUCCAUUUCAUCUUUGAAAUCGC
rnacentral:lncRNA from 1 species